rfam:Jatropha curcas cultivar GZQX0401 scaffold221_31, whole genome shotgun sequence.
UGUUGUGGAUGAUGAGAAAUAUAAAUUAUCAUACAGUUAUCCCUGUCUGAUACAUUCAGUGCUGAAUAUGUGAUCUGACACACAC